rnacentral:lncRNA from 1 species
AAAUCAUUGAUUAUGUAAAAAAUAAUCAAAAAGAGAGAAAAAUAUAUAAAAGAGAGAAAAAUAAAAACAUUUUAUGCUUGAUGAUGCCCUAAAUUAAAUGAUUGGACGCACAACCGACCCAAGAACAAGCAUGCAAAGCCCUCAACAGUCGGGACCCGUGAAGCCAGGACCCUCGUCGGUCCAUGAAUCUCCACGUGCGGCGGCCGUGUGGGUAACCUGAGAAGAAUUUGACCUACUAAUCGAAACGGUACGUUAUGAUCGAUAUCCAUAUCCUAUCCGAUUUAGUCGUGUGAAAAAAAAUCUUCAGGUCGGGGCAUCGGGUAUUACUAGAUCUACUAGCCAUGGGUAACCGUAGUUGUAGUGUUUGUGUGGUGUUAUAAAAGAAAUGAUUGAUUUGAAAAGGUGGAUCGAGUUUAUGAUUGACCAUUUAAGAAUACUUAACAAAUGAAGUAAGAAUCACGGAGUUACUGUACAUGAAAUCCAGCG